UAUCUUGCUCCGCCUUAACAAUCUUUGAUUAGAACACUGGCACAGGUGUCACCUGUGAAUUCAACGGUCUCAGCUUCUAAUGCAUACAAUCUGGUGCUCCCUAAAACUACAGCGUAGCGUUCUCCUUGCCUCAUUUAUUCCUACCGAUUCUACAGGCACUGCUGCUGUCAAGCAUCCUCUUGAAGAAAGUUUACGUUCUUGUUGUCUGGUUCGUCCACACCCAAUGUGCCGCUUCACUCUGCUACUGAAGGAUCAGGCUGACUGCAACUGCUAUGGAUGGCAGGAAAACACAGUACACGUGAAUUUCUAGAUGAAGAGUGAAUAAAUGCACUUGCUUAACUGAUAA